rnacentral:lncRNA from 1 species
CUUCUGUAUCUUGGAAAGAACAAGUCCCAUCAAGGUUGUUUAAAAUGUACUUUUCUAUAAGAUUUACCCAUUUCUCAUUCAUUCCAUUAUAGAUUUGGAAAGAUAUUCCAGUAUGGAGUAGAAGGAUGAGACUCCCCCAUAGCUUCCGUGGAUAUCUCUUAAUACAGGCAGAUUAAGAAAGCAAAUGAAUCCGUGGGUUUCCGAAGAACAGGACAAUCAAAUAGUGAAAGAAUGCUGUGCAUUUUUAGCCCUCUAUCCUCUGUAUUCAGCCAUUUGCCACUUUCUGCCCUCCCUUCCUGUGCAAUAGACUUCCUCCUGGACUUGCCCUGUUAGCCUUUAGAACAGAAGACCCGAGGCCCUCUCUUUCUCGGGUCUCAAGCUGAUGGGGUAAUCAUACCUGGUAGAAGUUUGUACCGAGAGCUUGGGUGCCCUCGUUCCUUGAGUGACAGCUUGAUACUCCCUUACCCUCACUAUUCAGUCACAAAUACGUGACUGGGUGAAGAUGUGCGAAGGCUCUGUCGUGCAGCAGACACUGCAGUGCGAGUAACACUGAGUUGAGACUCGGGUCAUGUUCUUCAAUUUGAAUGAAUGAAUGCAGCAUUCCUGCCCUCAUGGAGCUUGAAGUCUCACCGGGGCUCCCACGAAAAGACUGAAGAAAGGACGGUUACGAAAGGAAACAGGUUACAAAUUGUGAUCAUGGACACCGAAGAAGCCAAUGGGAGACCGAGCAGGGAAUUCAGGCGGAGGGCAGAGGGAGGAGGUCAGGCAAAGUCUGACAAGGCAAGUGACCUCUCCUUGGGGGCAAGAGAGCAGCGCACAGCAGGAAUCAGAGAGCAGGUGAAAUUCACCCAGCCGAAUGACAGACGGAACAGAGCCAGAAGGUCCCCGUGCAUCUCAUUCCCCAGCAGCUGCAAUCCUGUGACGCUGACGGACUCACAGAGAAAGUGCCGAGAGGUCUGGAAAGUCAUCCCAGCUGUGACUUCCAGGUGCCAGGGGUCCGAGACCGGAAGAUUCCAGCAGGGUUUUCCCAGAAUGCACCAUUGUUCUUCAGCCUGGCCUCCACCAUUUCCAACGUACAGGCCAGGUGCCUCCAAAGACAUUAGCUCCUUCUCUCCUCUGAUCUCACCCUAACAUUCGGCCGCAGAGGGACAGUUUUCUCUCCUGCCUUUUGAAGGAGUCAAUAGAAAACGGAACAGCUUUCCAGUUCUCCAUUCUCACCUUCCACACAGACCCUAUUUCCUGCCACAUUUCAAAACAUCUAAAAAAAUAUCACCACGGCGACGACGCUGUUGUUUCAAGAGUUUAAAUAACUUUCUAUAUCCAUCUCCUGUGUAAUCAUCUUCCAAAAAACCUCAAC